GACAGAGGUGGCAAGCGUUGCUAGGAGUUACUGGGCAUAAAGGGCGCGUAGGCGGUCGCGUGCGUCGGUGGUGAAAUCCCCGGGCUCAACCCGGGAACUGCCUUCGAUACGGCGCGGCUAGAGUGCGGGAGGGGGGAGUGGAACUCCUGGUGGAGCGGUGAAAUGCGUAGAUAUCAGGAGGAACGCCGGUGGCGAAAGCGACUCCCUGGUCCGUAACUGACGCUGAGGCGCGAAAGCUAGGGGAGCAAACGGG
rnacentral:rRNA from 1 species